rnacentral:rRNA from 1 species
AGAGUUUGAUCCUGGCUCAGGACGAACGCUGGCGGCGUGCCUAAUACAUGCAAGUCGAGCGAACUUCUUCGGAGGUUAGCGGCGGACGGGUGAGUAACACGUGGGCAACCUGCCUGUAAGACUGGGAUAACUCCGGGAAACCGGAGCUAAUACCGGAUAGUAUCUUGAACCGCAUGGUUCAAGUUGGAAAGACGGUUUCGGCUGUCACUUACAGAUGGGCCCGCGGCGCAUUAGCUAGUUGGUGAGGUAAUGGCUCACCAAGGCAACGAUGCGUAGCCGACCUGAGAGGGUGAUCGGCCACACUGGGACUGAGACACGGCCCAGACUCCUACGGGAGGCAGCAGUAGGGAAUCUUCCGCAAUGGACGAAAGUCUGACGGAGCAACGCCGCGUGAGUGAUGAAGGUUUUCGGAUCGUAAAACUCUGUUGUUAGGGAAGAACAAGUGCGAGAGUAACUGCUCGCACCUUGACGGUACCUAACCAGAAAGCCACGGCUAACUACGUGCCAGCAGCCGCGGUAAUACGUAGGUGGCAAGCGUUGUCCGGAAUUAUUGGGCGUAAAGCGCGCGCAGGCGGUUUCUUAAGUCUGAUGUGAAAGCCCCCGGCUCAACCGGGGAGGGUCAUUGGAAACUGGGAAACUUGAGUGCAGAAGAGGAGAGUGGAAUUCCACGUGUAGCGGUGAAAUGCGUAGAGAUGUGGAGGAACACCAGUGGCGAAGGCGACUCUCUGGUCUGUAACUGACGCUGAGGCGCGAAAGCGUGGGGAGCGAACAGGAUUAGAUACCCUGGUAGUCCACGCCGUAAACGAUGAGUGCUAAGUGUUAGAGGGUUUCCGCCCUUUAGUGCUGCAGCUAACGCAUAAGCACUCCGCCUGGGGAGUACGGCCGCAAGGCUGAAACUCAAAGGAAUUGACGG